CGAGUUGGCCGGGCGGCCGCGUCGGCGGGGCGACCCGCCGCCGAGGAAAGUCCGGACUCCGCAGGGCAGGGUGGUUGUCAACGGCAACCCGGGGCGACCCGCGGGAAAGUGCCACAGAGAACAGACCGCCACGGGGUCCCAGGACCCCGCGGUAAGGGUGAAACGGUGGUGUAAGAGACCACCAGCACCCCGGGUGACCGGGGUGGCUCGGUAAACCCCACCCGGAGCAAGACCAAGAGGCCGCCUCCCGGGGCGGCUGCGCAGGCGUUCGAGGGCGGCCCGUCCGAGCCUGCGGGUAGGUCGCACGAGCCCACCGGCGACGGUGGGCCUAGAUGGAUGGUCGCCGAACGGCGGGCCGCAAGGCCCCCGGGAACAGGAUCCGGCUUACAGGCCAGCUCGUCCG
rnacentral:RNase_P_RNA from 1 species